rnacentral:rRNA from 1 species
GACGAACGCUGGCGGCGUGCUUAACACAUGCAAGUCGUACGGUAAGGCCCUUUCGGGGGUACACGAGUGGCGAACGGGUGAGUAACACGUGAGUAACCUGCCCACAACUUUGGGAUAACGCUAGGAAACUGGUGCUAAUACUGGAUAUGUGCUCCUGCUGCAUGGUGGGGGUUGGAAAGCUCCGGCGGUUGUGGAUGGACUCGCGGCCUAUCAGCUUGUUGGUGGGGUAGUGGCCUACCAAGGCGGCGACGGGUAGCCGGCCUGAGAGGGUGACUGGCCACAUUGGGACUGAGAUACGGCCCAGACUCCUACGGGAGGCAGCAGUGGGGAAUAUUGCACAAUGGGCGCAAGCCUGAUGCAGCAACGCCGCGUGCGGGAUGACGGCCUUCGGGUUGUAAACCGCUUUCAGCAGGGACGAAGCUUUUUGUGACGGUACCUGCAGAAGAAGCACCGGCUAACUACGUG